rnacentral:sRNA from 1 species
CGGCUUACUGAGGUUU